UCGUUUGUGUCGCAAGAAUUAUUUAUUAUGCGUUAAGCAUUGAGCGCUGAUUCAGUGGCGCAGACCUGCAUAAGGGGGAAAUUCCCUUUACCUCUCGGCUUGGGCCUGUGGACGUGCAACUGCAUAAAUUAAGUGUGAUCAAGGCAGUGUUGGUGGUUUGUUCACCGUGCUUACCGAGGGUCAGUCAAUUGUGCUGCAGAAUCUGCCCGCUGUUGCUUUGCUGCUGCGGGGCGGCGUGUUACUGUGAUCCGUGGGCUGCGCGCUGGAGAUUGGAGAGUGCGCGCUCCAGUCCCAUUGACUACUUUAAAGACGCAUGUUUAUAUGCGCUGAGCUUCAUGUGAAUGAGUUUUAUGCGAGCGUGAGCCAGGGCGAGUGUGUGUUUGAAUGACUAUAUUGUGCGUGGUUGGGUGAUUACAUUGUGUGUGCGUUUGAGUGACUAUAUUAUGUGUGUAUGGUGAGAGUGGUUUUUGAGUAAUCUAUUAUUGUUACUUUUUUAACAUUAAUGUUAUUUUCUUUCGUUUUGUUCUUUUUGGUUUUGUCAAUUGUGUGGAAUAUUGUGAGUAUUUGUUAUUGAAUAAGUUGUUUUUGGUAUAUUGCCAAACGGUAUUUGUAUUUGUCUUUUUAUUUCAUUUUUGUUUGAUUGUGGGUUGCUUGUCAAUCGUGUCGAGUACUGUGAGCGGUUAUUAGCACUGCUCUUAUCUAUUAUCAAUCCACUUAUAAAGGGUAUUUGGUUGCUGGGUUCAGGAGGAUUUAUUUUUAUUCUAUAAUUUGGUUUGGUUAUUGUGUGGAUUGUGAUUUUGGUUAUACAAUUGCAUGAGGGUGUGAACUGAGGUUGGAUUUAAUUUAUUUUAAUUCUUAUUCUUAUUAUUUUUUUUCAUUUCUCCUCCCCAAAUGCUAAUUUAUCCAAUGGGAUAUUGAUAUUGGUCCGAGAUCCGAUUUUACAAGUUGCUAUUGUAUGACAUUAAGAGUCUGUUUGUGUGUGUGAAUGUUGUUGUUGUUUUUAUAAAUUGUGUAUUUUUCCCCAAAAAUUGUUUUUGGGUUGAAUUAUUAUAUUUUUAUAUUUUCUGAUAGUAAAUAAAGAUUGUACACAUCUCUGCUUGUCCUUUCCAUUUGUUUGGAAACCUGUAUUUAGGGCAUUUAUAGAAAAAUAUUGUAUUAGGAG